UUUUAUUAGAAGAUGUAUACCUUGACAACAUUGCUUAAUCACCUAACAGAGAUUCUCACCUUGCACUGACAACACAUUGCUCAGGUUCUUCCACCCCACAGGACUGAUAAGGGAGACUUUGACAUGGCAAGGUUUCUAAUGUGGUCACAUAAGCUGUAUGAAAUGAGGGUGUGCCCAUGCCUGAAGUGCAAGCCCCCAGAAGUCUGGUUUUCCUGGAUCCUGGGGUACUCCCAGAGUAUAUGCAGUGGUAUGAAUUUUUGCUUUGUUCCCACACUUUGGUAAAAAGAGCAGCUGCAUUUUUCCUCUCCUGAGACUUUAACAGCUGAUUACAGGUCUUGCAGGAGGUACCAUGGGCAGUGUGUAGCAACAAGAGGAGCAGAAGGGAGGGCACAUCCCUUGCUUUUCACUGAGACCACCAAACAUGGCAAUCCAGUAAAGCCCCAGGGUUUAAAGAGCAAGAUGCUCCUUUUAACUUUAGAAGAUCAACUGGCUCCCCUGUGCUGUUAAUAUCUGAUCUGCUCUUAUAUACACACCGUGGCCAGAGGAGAGGAGUUGCUGUGGAUGUGCAAGUUUCUGACUCUCAGGAUACAUCUUUACUCCUUUCCCAGAUGAGUUUCUGUCCCUCAGUAUUCCCAGGGUUACUCAGGUCUUCAUUCUGCUUUAGCCAUGAUCUUGGGAACAUUCAGGCAUGAUUUAAUUUAAACACAUACCCAUAUUUUUAGACUAAAGUCACCCCCAGCUCCAGUGCAGGGUAUUGGCUA